GCUUACGACCACACCGGCCUGAGUACGCCUGAUCUCGUCUGAUCUCGGAAGCUAAGCAGGUCGGCCUGGUUAGUACUUGGAUGGGAGACCGCCUGGGAAUACCAGGUGCUGUAAGCU
rnacentral:rRNA from 1 species